rnacentral:rRNA from 1 species
UACGAAGGGUGCAAGCGUUACUCGGAAUUACUGGACGUAAAGGGUGCGUAGGCGGUUCGUUAAGUCUGUCGUGAAAUCCCCGGGCUCAACCUGGGAAUGGCGAUGGAUACUGGCGAGCUAGAGUGUGUCAGAGGAUGGUGGAAUUCCCGGUGUAGCGGUGAAAUGCGUAGAGAUCGGGAGGAACAUCAGUGGCGAAGGCGGCCAUCUGGGACAACACUGACGCUGAAGCACGAAAGCGUGGGGAGCAAACAGG